GGAAAGUAGGGAAUACAUUAUUAGUCACAGCCUUAUCAGCACGAGUGGGAGAGACUUGGCGUUUUCUAAUUGUUGAUGCCAGAUAAGGAAACUUAGCUGAAAUAUGGGUGUAAAUAUGAAUCCCUUAUGUCUUCAUACUUUUCAAAGUUCUUUGACAUUGAAUCUCUUUGGUUCUUCACACAAACUGUUGCAGUUUUCAACAGAGAAAAUAUGAUUCUCUCUCUUUUUUUUUUUUUUUUUUUUUGCAGAUGGAGAAACAGAGGGAAGAAGAGACUUGGAAUCACUCUGUCCUGGCUGUGGGUCUAUGAAAAAGAAUGUGGCCUACUGCUAAAUACAUUGAUUUUGAAGCUAGAUAGCUCUGGUUUUGGGGAGCAAGUGAUUUGAUCUCUCAGAGACUCAGCUACUUCAUCAGUAAACAGAGAUUACCAUAUCCACCAGUAAUGGCUAUAGGAGCAGUAAUAGGGAUGAUAUAGGUGAAAGCACUGAUCACUGAAUGAUUCCAAAGACAGGUGCAGAGAGGUUCAGGCAUCAGACAGGCUACCUGGAUCCAAAUCCCAGCUCCAUCAUUUACUACUUUCAUGGCCUUUACAAACCACUAAACUUCUCUCUGAGCUUCAAUUUUCCCAUCUGUAACAUGGGAACUAAUAAAAUGAAACCUUCCUAAUAAAGUUGCCAGGAAGAUUCAUUGAGACAUUGAAUGUAAAGUAUUUAACUCAAUAUAGAGCACAGGGGAGCACCAAAUAAAAUUCAGGUGUUACAUUUUUAAGCACGUGUUCACCAAGGCUCCCAAUUCAGGUGGUGAGGAUUCUAUGAUGAUCAAUUCCUCCUAAGGUAUUUGUAAAAUGACCCACCAGAUUACCAACCAUUCCUGUAUUUCCAGAACCCUUUGGAGUCCUUUAUGUAACCUGGGAGAGCUGUUAUUCUUUUUUCUUUUUGGUAGAAGUGAAAUCCUGCAGGAAAACUUGCUCCAUUUUGGUUAUUUCUGUUAUAUCACAAGGUGGGCUGGAUAGCAAGUUUUGGAAGCACUGAACACCCACACGGAGCUGGCUCCUCUCAGGCGGGGAGGCAUCUUCACUAAGGAGGUGAGUGAAAAACAUGACCCAACACAAAUCAUGCUUCAAUUAUAUAAAAAAAAAUGUUGAAGUGAUGGGAACAUAUUCGAAGAACAAUAGAAAAUGAUUGUGGCUGCAAAUUACUUGACAUUUCUCUUGUUCAGAGGUGCAGUCUGUGUCCCCGUCCUUGACUCUGAGAAUCCCUGUGAUCAACAGAAUGCAGAAAAGUGACACUGCAUGGCUUCUGAGGCUAGGUCCAGAAAAGGUGAUGCAGCUUCCCCCUUUGCGCUGAAAUGCAGUGCUUGGACCUCAGAGCUAUUGACUAAGAAGUCCAUGCACCCUGAGCUUCUCAUGCUGGGGAAGCCACGUGUAGGCAUUCAGUUCCCAGCCCAGCUGAGCUCCAUCCUGGCUGCAACAAUUGUUCUCAUGAGGAAGCCAUCUUGGACACUCAGCUCCAUGGAGCCUCCACGAGUCGCCAGCCCCAACUGACAUCUGUCUCACUGCAACCACAGAAGAGCCUCCAACCAAGAACUGCACAGCUGAACCCUUUCUAAAUUCUUGAUCUCCAAAAAGCCAUGCACAAAAUAAAAUGGUUGUUUUGAGCCACUAAA
rnacentral:lncRNA from 10 species